rnacentral:rRNA from 1 species
GACGAACGCUGGCGGCGUGCUUAACACAUGCAAGUCACGGGGGCCCGCAAGGGCAACCGGCGAACGGGUGCGUAACACGUGAGCAAGCUUCCGAUUAGUGGGGGAUAGCCGGCCCAACGGCCGGGUAAUACCGCAUACGUUCACUGGACGGCAUCGUCUGGUGAGGAAACCUCCGGGGCUAAUCGAGGCGCUCGCGGCCUAUCAGCUAGUUGGCGGGGUAACGGCCCACCAAGGCUAUGACGGGUAGCUGGUCUGAGAGGAUGGCCAGCCACAUUGGGACUGCGACACGGCCCAGACUCCUACGGGAGGCAGCAGUGGGGAAUAUUGCGCAAUGGACGAAAGUCUGACGCAGCGACGCCGCGUGUGGGAUGAAGCUCUUCGGGGUGUAAACCACUGUUGCCCGGGACGAACCUCCCCUUUCGAGGGGACUGACGGUACCGGGUGAGGAAGCACCGGCUAACUCUGUGCCAGCAGCCGCCGCGGUAA